rnacentral:rRNA from 1 species
GACGAACGCUGGCGGCGUGCCUAAUACAUGCAAGUAGAACGCUGAAGGAGGAGCUUGCUUCUCUGGAUGAGUUGCGAACGGGUGAGUAACGCGUAGGUAACCUGCCUGGUAGCGGGGGAUAACUAUUGGAAACGAUAGCUAAUACCGCAUAAGAGUAGAUGUUGCAUGACAUUUGCUUAAAAGGUGCAAUUGCAUCACUACCAGAUGGACCUGCGUUGUAUUAGCUAGUUGGUGAGGUAACGGCUCACCAAGGCAACGAUACAUAGCCGACCUGAGAGGGUGAUCGGCCACACUGGGACUGAGACACGGCCCAGACUCCUACGGGAGGCAGCAGUAGGGAAUCGUCGGCAAUGGACGGAAGUCUGACCGAGCAACGCCGCGUGAGGGAAGAAGGGUGUCGGAUCGUAAAGCUCUGUUGUAAGAGAAGAGCGAGUGUGAGAGUGGAAAGUUCACACUGUGACGGUAACUUACCAGAAAGGGACGGCUAACUACGUG